GCCCUAGUAACGGCGAGUGAAGCGGCAACAGCUCAAAUUUGAAAUCUGGCGCAAGCCCGAGUUGUAAUUUGUAGAGGAUGCUUCUAGGUAGCGACCGGUCUAAGUUCCUUGGAACAGGACGUCAUAGAGGGUGAGAAUCCCGUAUGUGACCGGCCCGCACCUUCCACGUAGCUCCUUCGACGAGUCGAGUUGUUUGGGAAUGCAGCUCUAAAUGGGAGGUAAAUUUCUUCUAAAGCUAAAUACCGGCCAGAGACCGAUAGCGCACAAGUAGAGUGAUCGAAAGAUGAAAAGCACUUUGGAAAGAGAGUUAAAAAGCACGUGAAAUUGUUGAAAGGGAAGCGCUCACAACCAGACUUCUGGGCGGUGUUCCGCCGGUCUUCUGACCGGUCUACUCACCGUCCCGAGGCCAACAUCAUCUGGGACCGCCGGAUAAGACCUCAGGAAUGUAGCUCCCCUCGGGGAGUGUUAUAGCCUGUGGUGAUGCGGCGCGUCUCGGGUGAGGUCCGCGCUUCGGCAAGGAUGUUGGCGUAAUGGUUGUCAGCGGCCCGUCUUGAAACACGGACCAAGGAGUCUAACAUCUAUGCGAGUGUUCGGGUGUCAAACCCCUACGCGUAAUGAAAGUGAACGGAGGUGGGAAGGGUAACCUGCACCAUCGACCGAUCCUGAUGUCCUCGGAUGGAUUUGAGUAAGAGCAUAGCUGUUGGGACCCGAAAGAUGGUGAACUAUGCCUGAAUAGGGUGAAGCCAGAGGAAACUCUGGUGGAGGCUCGCAGCGGUUCUGACGUGCAAAUCGAUCGUCAAAUUUGGGUAUAGGGGCGAAAGACUAAUCGAACCAU
rnacentral:rRNA from 1 species